rnacentral:rRNA from 1 species
AGCACCGGCGGACGGCUCAGUAACACGUGGACAACCUGCCCUCGGGAGGGGGAUAACCCCGGGAAACUGGGGCUAAACCCCCAUAGGAGAUGGAUACUGGAAUGUUCCAUCUCCGAAAGUCCGCAAGGAGCCCGAGGAUGGGUCUGCGGCGGAUUAGGUAGUUGGUGGGGCAACGGCCUACCAAGCCUAAGAUCCGUACGGGCCAUGGGAGUGGGAGCCCGGAGAUGGACCCUGAGACAAGGGUCCAGGCCCUACGGGGCGCAGCAGGCGCGAAACCUCCGCAAUGCGGGAAACCGCGACGGGGUCAGCCGGAGUGCCGAUGCUUGCAUCGGCUGUCGGGGAGCCUAAAAAGCUCCCCAUAGCAAGGGCCGGGCAAGGCCGGUGGCAGCCGCCGCGGUAAUACCGGCGGCCCGAGUGGCGGUCACUAUUAUUGGGCUUAAAGCGUCCGUAGCCGGGUUGGGAAGUCCUCCGGGAAAUCUGGCCGCUUAACGGUCAGAAUGCCGGAGGAUACUCCCAGCCUAGGGAGCGGGAGAGGCCGAGGGUAUUCCCGGAGUAGGGGUGAAAUCCUAUAAUCCCGGGAGGACCACCUGUGGCGAAGGC